GACGAACGCUGGCGGCGUGCUUAAUACAUGCAAGUCAACUUGACUUUAGAUAGCAAUAUCGAAAAGUAGGGUGCGCACGGGUGCGUAACGCGUAGGUAAUCUGCCCUGAGGUCUGACAUAACCCGUCGAAAAGGCGGGCUAAACAUCAGAUGAUAUAUAAUCACGACAUCGUGGAAAUAUCAAAUCUUCGGAGCCUUGGGAUGAGCCUGCGUCUGAUUAGGGUAGUUGGCGGAGUAAUAGCCCACCAAGCCUACGAUCAGUAGCUGGUCUGAGAGGAUGAUCAGCCACACUGGAACUGAGACACGGUCCAAACUCCUACGGGAGGCAGCAGUGGGGAAUAUUGCACAAUGGGCGAAAGCCUGAUG
rnacentral:rRNA from 1 species